CGGUGGAUAGAAAGUAAUUUCAGGUUUCUUCUUCUUCAACUUAAUAUAGGCGUUUACGCCCACAUCAUAAGAUACUUUUAAUGACAAGAAUCCAUGUGCAAUUGCAUAUUUGAUCUCCAUGUUUUCAAAAACAACAUUUUUGAGUUGAUUUGAGAUAUGUAUGAUUAAAUUUUCAUAAUUGAAAGUAGAUUCUAUUAUUAUUACAUCAACGUUAGAACUGAUGUAUUGUUGCUCUGAAUUAUUGAAGGAAGGAAACUCGCGGCCUGUAAGUUAUAGUUGGGUGAAAUAUAGGUUAGGGGAUAUUAAUUGUAAUUAGUUGGGAAAAAUAUCGAUUAUCGGUUAUUAAUUGGAAUUAGUAUGGGGUA
rnacentral:lncRNA from 1 species